rnacentral:lncRNA from 1 species
CCAUCACAUUAAAAAAAACACAAAAACUAAACAAAAUCUCAGAAAACCAGAGACAACAAAAAGAAGUGAACAAACUCAAAGCAUGAUCAACAUUAUCGAAGCGGUGGUCUGUUUUUCCCUUUCCUCUAACAGGCAUGGACAUUGGUUUCUUACUUAGGCAGUCGAUGUGGGUAGCAAUAGUGUUAGAAGAAGAAGAAAGAGUGGAAAUUAGAAAGAUGGCUUCCAGCAUUAACAACCGAACGAAGAAUAAAAGAAGAAGGAAGCUUACCCAUCAUUUGAAAGCAGAAAUGGCAACGGCAGUAGCAGCCAAAAAGAAAUGAAAAAUAAACGGAGCAUAAAAGCCAAAAAGAAAUGAAAAAUAAAUGAAGUAACCGUCGAAAAAUGGAAAUGGAAUUGCAACGUACCAGCAGCGGUUUCCAGUUCUGAACCAAAAUGAAGCUUUCAAUAACAGAAAUUUGAAGGAAUGAAGGAAGGGAGAAGAAUGGAUGAAGGGAGCUUAUUGGAUGAAGGGAGAAGAAUGCCUGAGAGCUUUAGGAAAAUGUCUUACGGAGAUUGAAUCGGUAAGACAAUUUCCCAAAAAUUGUAAGGCAUUUUCCCGUGUUUUGUAGUUGAUUUUCCAAAAGGAAAAUAUUUUCUUCCAAUCAAACACUGGAAAAUGGGAAAAAUCAAUUCCGGAAAAUAUUUUCCCCCUAUCAAACAGACCCU